GGUGGUUCUUGGGUUACGCACCCCGAAAUCUGGCUCCCUCCUCUCUGGUUCCGGGGUGCAUCAACCUAAGAACUGCC
rfam:Myotis lucifugus cont2.31366, whole genome shotgun sequence.